GCUGCCCCUAGAGGCAUUGCAGGUGUGGCUGCUGUGUCACAUGUGCGUCAGUAGGUGGCAGAGAGGAGAGAGGCCGUGUCUACAUUCAGUGUUCUGACCUGUGAACUUCUGUAUGAUUAAUAGCCUAGUAUU